GUAGGUGGUGGUUGUAGAGAAAAAUACUAUAGUCACCUUCUUGGUACUAGACAGGCCUGUGGGGAAUAGGAAGGCUCCUGUAAGGCAAGGAGGAUGCACUGAGUGGGGAUGGUAUGACCUGGAUCUCUAUGAAGAAGGGGGAUGUGUGUGUGUGCGUGCAUGUGCAUGCGUCCAUGCAUGCACGCACGCACUGAUUUUUACUAAGAGCUCAAGAAGGGACUGAGAAGAUAGCACUUACACUAAGGCCUCUAAACUGGAGCUUGGCAUAGUAAGUGGGCCUGAGCUUGCCUACCAGUGACUGGGAAGGAGUGUGAAGACCUGUGAUGACAAGAACAACUUAUAGUCUGAAGAGCAUGGUGUAAGGCCCAUGGGGCUCAGACCUGGGGUUAAGGAUCAGAUGCAAGGACACUGGAUUGUCUCUUGGGCUGUCUAUUAUCCUGGAAGGGAACUGGCUGGAGGGCCAAGCUACAAGAACAGGCAACCGCAGACGCAAAUGUAAGGAAAGGCCCUGUUACUGACCCACCUAGUAAGUCAACAGUAACCUGAAGAGAUGGCUGACCUGGGUUUAUAGCCCUCCAUGAAGAGCUACAUUUGAAGGACUGAAUGGCUCAGAGGCUAGGAGUGGGACACAGCUUUUUGCUUUGUCAUCAGUGGUCUUGCACCAUUCCCGGCAGACAGUUGCCCAUAUGUAAUGAUAGGUAAACUUUGAAAAGAGACGUUGCUGAAAAUAAAUGCUACUCUAAAAAUAGGUAUGAAGUUACACAGUAACACAGAGGGACAGAUUUUUAAAGGUACUUAGGCAUACAACUCCCAUUGAUUUCCAUGGGAGAUAGUUGCCUUGGUGUUUUGAAAAUCCUAUCUGCAUCUGAAGGCCUAAAUACCUUUUAAAAAAAAAUCUGGCCCUGAGCCUAUGUCGAACAAAACUUAGAUAUAGAGUCACUAUAUACCAAUGAGCAUCUUAGUAAGCAAACCUCUGUAUCAAGCAACCACUUUAAGGUAUCUGUAAAACUUCAGUGUGAUUUUUUUUUUGAUCAAUUUUUAGUUAGAGAAUCUCUCGUUUAGGCAACUGACAGCUGUUGGUCUCUUAAGUGGUCAUUUAAGAACCGUUACACUGCAUGCUUAAAGGACCAGAAAUCUAUUUUUGUGUUUUGGGUGGUAAAGGAUUUCACAGAAAUGUUUAGGCAGUUUGAUUUUAGAUCUUAGCAUUAAGCAGUGGUAAAAAAUUAAGAGUCUACAUCUGUUGUGGACUCUGUCACAGAUGCAAGACCUGAGACUACAAGGGAUAGAAGUGUCUGAAUGGGUCAAGCAAUCUUCACUCACCAAGAGGUAAGGUGAGUUGAUAAAUAGUUUCUUGCUAUUUGGUACAGUAGUAUAAGCUUUCUUUACCCUGGACUUUCUAGCUAUUUUUUCAAUGUCCUGGAAGGAUGAGAACAAUAGUUUUUUUUGCAGAAUAUUUUAAAAUUUGUACUGAUUUUUACAUUGUAAAAUGUAAAAAAUCAACAUAGUAAAGUAUGCAGAAAUUUUAAUUAAAAAAGCAUUGCAGUAUGAAACCCAUCUGACCUAAAAUAAUUCUGCACUAUUAGUGAGUUUACUUACUCAUGCAGGUAGUUCCACUGAACUUGUGUGAGGAAAUGAUACUCGCUGUAAGGGUUGCAGAACUGGGACCUUAAGGAGGAAGCUAGUUCAUUUGGUGGUGAUAGUCAUAAGAAUUUUAGUGGUGAUCGGGAUGACACUAGUAAAUAAUUGGGCAUUGUCUGGUUACUGUGUUAACAUACACAUUGUUGUAUCCAUCUCUGGGUCAGAUUGAAGGAGACACUGACAUUUGUUGUGGGAGUGAAGGAAUAUAAACUUUUAGAUUUAUAACCUGUAUCUAUGGCCUUGGAUGUGCUGUCCUUCAAGGAAAGGACUCGAAAUGUUUAGCAGGUGUGAUGAAAAGUGUAACCUUGAAAAACUGGAUUCAGGCUGGUAUAACACAGCAUGGUUACUUAUACCUGAUAAGGGAUUAUAUGUGAGCCUUAAUUGGUCUUUAGAAAUGAGAUGUUAAAGAUGUAGUGUAAAGUUUGUUUUUUUAUAUUUCAAUAAACUUCCUGGCCUGGUGCUCUCCAAAGUAAUUAGAUUUGCGAGAAGGCACCACUGUUAUUGCUCAUCUUCUAUUUCCUAUGUCUGAACAAAUUGUACACUGGGUAAAUAAGCCCAGUCAUACAAAACAAAAGAUACUGAGAUCUGCUUUGCUCUCUACUAUCUCUUCCACCCCGGGCAAGUCAGAUGCUGAUAAUGCUCACAAUGACUUUUUCCCAUGAUUUUUGUUUUCUACACCUCUGGGCAAAUUGAAAACAAGUAUGAAAACAACAUACCAAGAUUCAAACGUGGGCAGACCCCCUUGAUCACAACCUUUCUUCGAAUGCAACCUUCUCUGUCCCCCAGCCUUCUCACUCUUUUUAGAAAAGUGACAUCAUGAAAAUAUCUUGUUUCCUUUCACACACCACAUUCUCACUAGAGUGAGCUGGAAAGGAGGACGUAUUGGCUCUCUUGAGUCACUCUUGAUAAAACAAAAUCAACAGCCACAAUGGAACAGCCCAGUGGUCACUGUAGCCCAAUAGCUUAGUGACAAUCGCUUAUACUAAAGCUUCAGAGGAGGGCAUAUUGCCAACCCCAAGUAAUUCACUUAAGUGUUCAAUACUUACCCUGGUGGAGGUGCAGGCAGUGGUGGGUAGAAUAUUUUAUUUUUUUCUGGUUCAGGAUGAUGCUCAAUAUAUGCCCUAAACCACUAAAACAUCAGGCUUAAUAGUUUGUAUAAUUUAAUUGUAUCCUGUAUAGUUAGAUGGUAUUGUUCUUGGUCUGAAUCCUGAUGUCCCUGAUGAUGUUUUUGUUUUCUAUAAGAGUACAAACUGAGAUGAAGACCUCAGGUUUUAGCCAUUUAUUCAUAUACCUAUCUUAUGCUUUCCUUGAAUUUUAUUAAAUUAUUUGCUUCACAAUGUCCUACAGCAGUGAGUUCCACAAAGUAAUUACACUGUAUAAAAGUAGUUCCCUUUUGCAUAUACUGCUAUUUAACUUUACCACAUGGAUUGAUAUCUAAUCUCUCUUGCUCCAGAGCAAGCCCAUUACAUCUUCUUCUGCCUUCAAAGGCCAUGCAGAAUUGAACACAGUCCUCUUUAUAACAGCCCUUAACAUAUUGGAACACUAUUAACAGACCCCUUGAGUAGAACAGACUUACUGUAAUUAUGGCUGAGCAACUUAAUUUUUUUCACUAAAUAAAGUACAUGCACAUUCUUCAAGGGAAUAUUAUUGCCAGUCAUUUCAGUGUCAAAACAUCACUUCGGAAAGAUGUCACGAGUCCAUAGAACUCAGCAGAUUGUCAUGAUCUAAACUGUUUUCAAAUAUCCUGGAUAUAUAACUUGAAGAGGCUUGCAUCACUAUAUGCAGAAGAAGGCUUGCAUGGAUCAGGUACUGGAAUAUUCUUCACCCAAAGAUGUUUCACAUUUCUUCUGAACAAAAUUAGAACUCCAUAUCUUUUUUGCAGACUUUUUCGUAUGCAAAAUGUAAUUCCUUGUCUAGCUUUCUGUAGACAGGAACUUUAGAUGACAAAAAUAUAGUAAAACAAUUUAGAAGAAAGAUUUGGUGUUAACCUGUAAAAUUGUUUCAGAUAAUAUUGUUUCAUUAAAAGAAGACUUUAUAGAAAAAACAUUUUAUUUGUAUUUAUUUAUAUAUAUUUAUAUACUUUAUCUAUAUCAAAUAAUUUUUCUGUAAAGGGUGUGCGUGUGUGUGUUUAUUUAUUUAUUUAUAUAUAUAUAUAUGAAUGACAGGGAGGGGGAGGCGCGCAAGCGAGCUGGAAUACAGUUAGACAGAGAAAUCAAUGCAGUUUAACUAAGAGAACAGACCUCAUUAGGAGAAGAGACGCGCACUCCCAUGUCAGUGUCUUUUCAGGCCAUGUCAGAUGUAAAAUGCUGCUUUUUUUUUUUUUUUUUUUUUUAAAAAAACAGAACUUAUUUCUUUUUUUGUUUUGGAUUUGUAUUUUGAAUCUCCCUCUCCCUGCCCUCUUGUGUUUUUGUAAGCCUCGUGGUAGUUUCUUUUUGACCUUGACAACACACCAGUUUAUAUUCUUUAUGAU